rnacentral:sRNA from 1 species
AUGAUCUAAAAAUAGAAAAAAAACUGAAACUUGAUAGUCAUAAUAUGUGUAUGUAGGCUAUGCACAUUAUGUACCUAUGUAUGUACGCCUGAUGAACAGAUAGAAUUAUUAUUGCACCUUUAACGCUUGUAAUCGGCUUUAAUGUGCAUGGAACUAACAUUCAUCUGCCUUUUAUUUUAAUUUCAAAACACUAAUUUUUAUAAAAUGAAUAUAUGAGCAGACGUAAGGAUUUGUGUAUGAUGGUGAUCAAGAAGUUACAUAUGUACAUAACAUACGUAUUUACCUAAUGGGAUUAGACAUCUUUUUUAAAAUUAAAAUACCCCCUGCAAAGGUUAAAAUGAACCUAUCAAGUAAAAUUAUUUUGUUUUUUUCACCAAAAUGUGAAAAGCUGAGCAUUGUGGGCGAGUUUGGCGUUCCGUGAGAUUACGGAGCUUGUUAACGUUGUUUACGCCUAGAUAACAAUGAAAAAUAGUGCGCCAUCCAGAAUGCGGUUGAAAUUAGAUACGAGGGUGGCUGGCGGGGGUGGUUCGCAAUCAGAGUGCAAAUAUUAGGGAAACACAACGUAGUGCCAACACGCGUGUGGAGCGUAUUACAUCUGCCGAGUGCGCAACAAGUUGAGUGUCACGGUUACCGCAACUUUCUUUUUCCCCAAAAGAACGGAAGCUACAAAUCAAUGCCCUUACUUUUGAUUUAAUAAAGAACCUAAGAAAGCUGAACAAAUUAAGUGAAACAUAAUCCGCGCCACAAAGUUCCUCCCGCUGUCUUUGGAUAAUCGGAACAAGAAAGCAAAUCUUUGACAGAGGUAAAGUUCAAGAACCCCAUGAAAGCAUCAACACGCAUAUGAACAUGAACGCAGACACCACUCCAUGCCAUAAACUGGCUCACUGGCAGUGCUAUUGGACGGACUGCCUGCCACCCUGCCUCCAUGCCGCCGAGGAAAAGCCCCUGCCCCAAAGUUUCCCCGGCACUGAGAACGAAAGUGAGUCGUUUCACCUACACAACACAACAAAGCUCGGGUGCCUUCACCCUCAUUUGGACGAACAGUUUUUUUGGCGCUGCGCAAGAAGGUCAUUGAACUUGAUGGAAAUUCGGAAGCAGUCCAGAGCCAACGACAAACUCCCAGCGCCCUAGCCUCAUACCCAGAAAUCAUUUUAUUAGUUUCGUUGUGGGUUGAUGCUUCGGCGCACUACAAAAGUGCUUAGAUUGCUCCCAUCCAGAUGCCGCAACACAGAGAACGCCAGACGGACAUGGCCAGAUCGACUAGUGAUCCUGAUAUAUGUCUAUACUUUAUAUGACCAGAGGAGGAGGAAUUAAGGUAUUGCAUACUUUAAGGAUGAUACAAAUAUUAUUAAGAUUGAUACCAUUUUUCAAUAGCAGAAGAUUUAAAGCCAAUCAACCAGAAAAAAUUGUAGUCCAAAUUCUAGUACCUUCUCAAAAUGUUUUAUUUAAUUUUACUUUACUUUGUUUGGUUCUUCGAAUCAUUACACACUCAUACAAAAUAUAUGUAAAUAAUUACUAACAGCGUUAGUUUGAUCAGUAUUUUGAACAUAUAAGUUAAAGCAAAACAAAUUGAAAUAAUUUGUUUUUGGGAUAUAAAUAUAGUAAUACGCGCCGUUGAUCCUCCAUGGCGGAAUUCGUGCGUGGCCACAUUGUGUGUAAUUGAAAAAAGCAUGAUGAUGUACUCAAAAAACUACAAUAAUAUAUAGAUAAAUUUAAACUUAAAUGCCGAAACAAUCUGGUGUAAAACAACUAGUUUCGCUUCGAAAAGGUGCAACGAAUUUCGGCUAACAAAUAAAACGGAUGAACCCCAAUCUCCUGUGUGAACAUCUAUGCAAGUGAACUGGUAUUUAAAUAGACUUAUUCAUAUGUCAUCUGAUUGUUGUUUUCCGCUAGCUGCUGGUCGUGUCUACUCUUGCGCUGCAGCCGG